UUAAAAAGAGAGUUUGAUCCUGGCUCAGGAUAAACGCUGGCGGCGUGCCUUAUGCAUGCAAGUCGAACGGUCUUAUUUCGGUAAGAUAGUGGCGGACGGGUGAGUAACGCGUAGGUGACCUACCCUUAGGCGGGGGACAACUCCGAGAAAUCGGGGCUAAUACCGCGUAGGCUCUCAAGUCAAAUUGAGAGUGAAAGCUCCUUCGGGGGCGCCUUUGGAGGGGCCUGCGUUCGAUUAGCU
rnacentral:rRNA from 1 species